GGGCUAGCCAUGCAAGUCAUUACUCAAGGUCCCAGGUGGGUUUGUUCUGCCUACACUGAAGACCAUGCUGCCAUGGCCUCACUUCUCUGCUAUCGAAGCCAGCUAACCUAGAGAAGGGAGAAGAAUGGAUAGUGUGAAUCCCUGUGGGAAGCAUUUGAAGGACUUUGAAACCUACCAGAUUCCCUCUGUGGAAGGCUGAUGACUUCUGGAUAACAACCUUUAUAAACAGGAGGAAAGAAUGAAGAAAGUCCUGAGGGUGAUGCGUCUCUAAAGAGAAGGAGAAUCUGCACCUUCUGCGAUGCCACCCAGAACAGCCUUGCUGUCCAUGUGUGCCUACCAGCUUUGGUUUCCUCCUUCUGGCUAGCAUUCUUCCCCUAAUCUGAAUUCAGAUUAUUCCUAUUACCACUCCAGUCUGACAAUUAUAUAAUACUGAUUUUAAAAAAGAAAACUCUGGAAGUUAAUGUAGCAUGACAAAUAACUGAAAACCUAACAUGAAAGCAUAAAAUAAAAUCGGUCUCCCAACAUCAAUUCUAUCCUUGUGUUCUGACACCCAAGUAUUCGUCUCACCCACCUCCAUCUAUACUGAAUGCAUCAUUCUAUCUAUAC